rnacentral:rRNA from 1 species
CCUACGGGAUGCAGCAGUGAGGAAUAUUGGUCAAUGGACGAGAGUCUGAACCAGCCAAGUAGCGUGAAGGAUGACUGCCCUAUGGGUUGUAAACUUCUUUUAUAUGGGAAUAAAAUGUUCCACGUGUGGGAUUUUGUAUGUACCAUAUGAAUAAGGAUCGGCUAACUCCGUGCCAGCAGCCGCGGUAAUACGGAGGAUCCGAGCGUUAUCCGGAUUUAUUGGGUUUAAAGGGAGCGUAGGUGGAUUGGUAAGUCAGUUGUGAAAGUUUGCGGCUCAACCGUAAAAUUGCAGUUGAAACUGUCAGUCUUGAGUACAGGAGAGGUGGGCGGAAUUCGUGGUGUAGCGGUGAAAUGCUUAGAUAUCACGAAGAACUCCGAUUGCGAAGGCAGUUCACUGGACUGCAACUGACACUGAGGCUCGAAAGUGUGGGUAUCAAACAGGAUUAGAUACCCUAGUAGUC